rnacentral:rRNA from 1 species
GAUGAACGCUGGCGGCGUGCCUAAUACAUGCAAGUCGAGCGAACAGACGAGGAGCUUGCUCCACUGACGUUAGCGGCGGACGGGUGAGUAACACGUGGAUAACCUACCUAUAAGACUGGGAUAACUUCGGGAAACCGGAGCUAAUACCGGAUAAUAUAUUGAACCGCAUGGUUCAAUAGUGAAAGACGGUUUUGCUGUCACUUAUAGAUGGAUCCGCGCCGCAUUAGCUAGUUGGUAAGGUAACGGCUUAGCAAGGCAACGAUGCGUAGCCGACCUGAGAGGGUGAUGGGCCACACUGGAACUGAGACACGGUCCAGACUCCUACGGGCGGCAGCAGUAGGGAAUCUUCGGCAAUGGGCGAAAGCCUGACGGAGCAACGCCGCGUGAGUGAUGAAGGUCUUCGUAUCGUAAAACUCUGUUAUUAGGGAAGAACAAAUGUGUAAGUAACUAUGCACGUCUUGACGGUACCUAAUCAGAAAGCCACGGCUAACUACGUG